AGUACGAAAGGACCAAGAAAACAGGACCCCUGUCAGCAACACGUCCUAAACAUCAAGGCUGAACACAACUAAAGCCAAGCAACAACUCACAAACCCGGAGAUAACGGGCUUA
rnacentral:rRNA from 1 species